GACGAACGCUGGCGGCGUGCUUAACACAUGCAAGUCGAACGGAAAGGCCCUGCUUUUGUGGGGUGCUCGAGUGGCGAACGGGUGAGUAACACGUGAGUUACCUGCCCUUGACUUUGGGAUAACUUCAGGAAACUGGGGCUAAUACCGCAUAGGAGCUCCUGCUGCAUGGUGGGGGUUGGAAAGUUUCGGCGGUUGGGGAUGGACUCGCGGCUUAUCAGCUUGUUGGUGGGGUAGUGGCUUACCAAGGCUUUGAGGGGUAGCCGGCCUGAGAGGGUGACCGGCCACAUUGGGAUGGAAAUACGGCCCAGACUCGUACGGGACGCGGCAGAGGGGAAGAGUACACAAUGGGAGGAAGCCUGAUGCGGCAACGCCGCGUGGGGGAUGACGGCAUGCGGGUUGUAAACCACUUUCGCCUGUGCCGAAGCGAGAGUGACGGUAAUGGGUAAAGAAGCACCGGCUAACUACGUG
rnacentral:rRNA from 1 species